rnacentral:lncRNA from 1 species
CUUGUGUCCCAAAUGUCCACAUCUGCCACAAACACUUGGAAUCUAUGUAUACUCAACAUCCACCAAGAAAAUAUUGCCUUGUUUGUCAUCUAAGGCAAUUUGCUUUGGAAAAGGCUUGUCAAGUUCUACUUCAACCAACAACUUUGCUUAUCCCAAACAAGUCGGAUCAAGUCGAGGUUUAUGUGUUUGCAUAGGCUCACCAAGUCCAGACGCAACAUGGCUGAGACCCAAUCUUGAGUAGCAGCUAUCCGGAACAUUUUUAAGAUUUACCCACACUGGUAUUGUUGAUACCUCAGGGACUUUGAAUGAGUUGACUGAUUUCCAAGGCGAAACAAAUAACAAACAGUCAUCAACAUGCCAUACACCUCUUUGAA